CGACGAUGACGGUGGUGCUUGCACCGCCUGAUUAGUGGCGAACGGGUGAGUAACACGUGAGUAACCUGCCCUCCACUUCGGGAUAACCUCGGGAAAUCGUGGCUAAUACCGGAUAUGAGCACUCAUCGCAUGGUGGGUGUUGGAAAGAUUUAUCGGUGGGGGAUGGACUCGCGGCCUAUCAGUUUGUUGGUGAGGUGAUGGCUCACCAAGACGAUGACGGGUAGCCGGCCUGAGAGGGCGACCGGCCACACUGGGACUGAGACACGGCCCAGACUCCUACGGGAGGCAGCAGUGGGGAAUAUUGCACAAUGGGCGAAAGCCUGAUGCAGCGACGCCGCGUGGGGGAUGACGGCCUUCGGGUUGUAAACCCCUUUCAGUAGGGAAGAAG
rnacentral:rRNA from 1 species